rnacentral:lncRNA from 1 species
CGUGGGCUUCCAGUUUCAUACCAACUUUGAAAUCAUUUGUAGGCGGAAUUCUGUUUGAAACAAUGUAGAGGGGCAGCUAUUGAUUCAGUCUCUUUCAGAUAAUCAUCCCAACUAAACUGUUCUUUAGCUGUGGUUCUCCCCAUGGUAACACUUGUGUGAUCUUCCCUCUCACAAUAAAAAGGCUGAAGUUGAAAGACCAGUUAAUUCUUCCUUUCAGUACAACAGUUU